UACAGAGGGUGCGAGCGUUAAUCGGAAUUACUGGGCGUAAAGCGCGCGAGGCGGUCUUGUAAGUCGGGUGUGAAAACCACGAGCUUAACUCGUGGCCUGCAUUCGAGACUGCAUUGCUAGAGUAUGGGAGAGGGAAGUGGAAUUUCCGGUGUAGCGGUGAAAUGCGUAGAUAUCGGAAGGAACAUCAGUGGCGAAAGCGACUUCCUGGACCAAUACUGACGCUCAUGUGCGAAAGCGUGGGGAGCAAACAGG
rnacentral:rRNA from 1 species